rnacentral:rRNA from 1 species
GGGAGGCAGCAGUGGGGGAAUAUUGCACAAUGGGGGGAAACCCUGAUGCAGCCAUGCCGCGUCGUGUGAAGAAGGCCUUCGGGUUGUAAAGCACUUUCAGGUUGGGAGGAAGGUAGUGUAGUUAACACCUGCACCUAUUUGACGUUACCUACAGAACGAAGCACCGGCUAACUCCGUGCCAGCAGCCGCGGUAAUACGGAGGGUGCGAGCGUUAAUCGGAAUUUACUGGGCGUAAAGCGCAUGCAGGCGGCCUGUUAAGUCAGAUGUGAAAGCCCCGGGGCUUAACCUCGGAAUUGCAUUUGAAACUGGCAGGCUAGAGUCUUGUAGAGGGGGUAGAAUUUCAGGGUGUUAGCGGUGAAAUGCGUAGAGAUCUGAAGGAAUACCAGUGGCGAAGGCGGCCCCCCUGGACAAAGACUGACGCUCAGAUGCGAAAGCGUGGGGAGCAAAACAGGAUUAGAUACCCUGGUAG